AUGUUUGGAGCUUGGUGGCCCAGGACUGGUCUGAUUGCUCUGUGGUGUCAGCAUUAUGCAGAUUCCUUCUUUUCUCCUGAUCCUUUUUUUUUUUUUUUGAAGGAUUGCUUCAUGGUCAAAAGAUGGCUGCUAGAGAUCCAGUUUUCAUGUCUCAAACAGGAAGAAGGAGAAAGCACUAAAUGCCAACAGAGUCUAAGACCAGAUUAUACCCUCUUUGAACUGAUUUCCUGGAAGCCCCGCACCAAGCUCCAGAGGGACGGACAAGCCGACCAGAAGCACAAGAUGCAGAUAACUGCUGCUGAGACCUGUAGAGUGAGCCAGGGUGAUGACAAGGCAGUGAUGCUGAUGAUGGAGAGAGCUAACGGCUGCUGGGAACAUUCUACAUGAUGAGUGAGGUUCUUUUUUUUGAUUUUUAAAAAUUAUUUUAUUGGAAUAUAGUUAAUUUACAAUGUUAGGUUGUGCCUCGCUAUAUAGCAAAAUGGUUCGAUCUCUUUCUCUCUCUCUCUCUCUCUCUCACACACACACACACACACAUCCUUUUUCCUAUUCUUUCCCAUUGUGGUUUAUCAUAGGAUAUUGAGUAUAGUUCCCUGUGCUGUACAGAAGGAUGGAGGUUGUUGUUUGUCCAUCCUAUAUAUAAUAGUUUGCAUCUGCUAAUCCCAAACUCCAAAUUCAUCAUCCCUCCCCACACUUCCUCCCCCUUGGCGACCCACAGUCUGUGAGUCUGUGUCUUUUUUUUUUUAAUUGUUAUUUGUAAAUAAGUUCAUUUGUGUCAUAUUUCAGAUUCCAUAUAUAAGGGAUAUCAUAUGGUAUUUGUCUUUCUCUUUCUGACUUACUUCACUCAGUACGAUAAUCUUUAGUUGCAUCCAUGUUGCUGCAAAUGGCAUAAUUUCAUUCUUUUUUAUGGCUGAGUAAUAUUCCAUUGUAUACAUGUACCACAUCUUAACCCAUCCCUCUGUCCAUGGACAUUUAGGUUGUUUCCAUGUCUUGGCUAUUGCGAAUAAGAGGUGGACACUGUUCUGAGUGCUCUACAUGUAUUUAUUCAUUCGAUCCUCACUGGACCUGGUAAUGAGCAGCUUUUAUAAUCUCCAUUUUCUGAAUAAGGAUAGCAGGUAGAGGGUCUAAAUAAUGUGAUUAAUGUCACAGGCAGUAGAACUGAGACCUUGGCCACAGAGCCUGUGGUCUUUGCUUCCACGCUUGGUUCAUUCAUCUAAGGUUGUAAAAUGCCCCCUCAGUGCUAGACAUUAGAUGCUAGGUACAGAGAUGAACAUGCUUUGGUCUCUCUAACCCCAAAACUCUCACUGUCUUUCUGAUCCAAUCUAGCUGAUGACCCCGCCCAGACACUGGAGAGCUGUGCUGUCCAGUAUGACAGCCACUACCAUAUUUCAGCCACUGAGCUCCUGAAAUGUGGUCAGUUUGAACUCGCACAUGCUGUGUGUGUAAAAUACACACUGGGUUUAGAAGACCUAGUACAACAAGGAUGUAAAAUACCUCAUCAAUAUUUAUUUUACUUUAUUAAAAAUUUUUAUUGGAGUGUAGUUGACUUACCCAGCUGUAAGUGUUGUGUUAGUUUCAGGUGUACAGCCAAGUGGAUCAGUUAUAAAUAUAUUCAUUCUUUUUCCCAUAGAGGUUUUUACUAACUAUUGAGUAGAGAGUUCUCUGAUGGCCUAGUAGGUUAAGGCUCCCACAUCUUCACCACUGUGGCUCUGAUGACUGCUGUGUGGUGUAGGUUCGAUCCCUGGCACAGGAACUUCCCCAUGCUGUGGGUAUGGCAAAAAAAGAAAAAAAAAUUAAAAACAGAAUGAAGCAAGAGAGAACCUGAAAUAAACAUUGCAACUCUCAGUCAAAAAACAGACUAUUGAGCAGAUUUUCCUGUGCUCUAUAAUAGGUUCUCAUUAAUCCUCUAUUUUUCACAGUAGUAUGUAUAUGUUGUGCUUCCCUCCCCUUUCUUCCCUCCCCCCAACUCAUCAAUAAUUUUUAAUACUGACUGUGUGCUGAAAUGAUUAUGUUUUGGAUACAGUGGAAUAACUAAAAUAUAUCAUUCGAGUUCAUCACACCUUUUAAAAAAGUGGCUAUAAGAAAAUUGAAGUCACAUGUGUGCUCACGUGACACUUCUCUUGAUGGUACUGCAGUAGAAUGUGAGUUCCUUGAAGACAGGUGCCAUCUCUGCCCUCUUUACCUCUGGUCCCAGGAGCCAGGACCAACAUUCAAUGGUCCCUCCAUACAUAGGUGUUGGACAGUGGAGUGAAUAAAUACACGAAUAACCAAAUCCCAUCCUCUCCUUCAUCUGCUCAUCUGUUUCCUGAAACACGUAGGUUGGAUCUCACUUUUACCUUGCUUUGUCUCUCUGGGCAGUCUCUCCAUUUCCCUGAGGCUUACAGAGAAUGGAUGCUACUCUGUGCCAGGAAACUGAGAGGCUGGAUGCGUGGAGGAAUUUGGAGAAUAAAAACAGAGUAUUUCCAACCACAAGGGCAAUUACCACUCACUGGGUGCAAAUUACUGAAGAAAAAAAAAAUGUGCCUGCUGUUGUUCUCAGUGCUUUAUCUGGAGUGAGUCAUUUAAUUCUAACAACCUAUGAUGUCAGUCCAGCUGUCAACUCCAUUGGACAGAUGGGGGAAAUUAAACCUCAAACAGGUUAAAUCUCACCCCCAGGAUUACAUAACUGGAUUCAUACUCAGUGACUGAUACGACACUGAUAUGGCAUCAAGCAUAGGGAAGGGGGGGACUGGUGUCUCCCACCCCAACAAGAAUAAUCCUGCCUUGGGUCCCCUUUGUUCUGAGGCCCCAGAGCACCUUAGACAGCUGGUACCCCAACUCUAGGGACACUGGGGAACAUAUCAAGUGUGGGUAGUACCACAAAGCAUCUGGCCACAUCCUGCCUGUGCAUCCAGCCAUUUCCUGUCUCUGCAUCUUCUUCACUAGAUGGCUGGGAUUCCCACAGGCUGGCUCUCUUCUGUGCCCGUGAUGUGGCAAUGAGUGAAUAGGUGAGUGACCAUCCCAGGUCAAGGAACAACCCUCACCAUGCCCUCUGAUGACAUAUCCCUCCCCGUCCUACUGGACCUCAGCUUCUACAGCCAGGACUCUCAGAGAAGCCCCAAACCCCUUAUCCUGGCACCACUGAGGGAGACAUGCCAAACUUCCACAAGUCUGUGUUAGUUCCUCGUCCCUCCAGGCCAGGUGGUGGGUCUGGAGGUCAUGAACCCAGGCAUUGGGGGCAGCAGAGUGCAGGUCAGUUCUGAACCUCACCUCUAAUGAGCUGUAUACUGUUGGAGAAGUCAUUCUUCUCCAAGGCUCAGCCUCCUCUUCAGUGAAAUGGAGAUAACAAGAAUCCACUUGUAUUAUUACUACUCCUGGUCAGGGUGUCACCCCCAGCCUCUCCUUGGCCUUUGCUGACCCCCUAUUUUAAACUGCUACCAUAAUCUCGACUGCUGCACAGAUUAAUAUCCAUUUAUUUAUAAUGCCAUGUGGCAGUGUUCAUGGAUCUAGCAGGUUCGCAAGGAGCUUGUAGGAAAAUAGUUUACAAUUUACCCUUAAGCAGGUGCUUGAACACCGCAAGCCCACUCCCACCUCAGCAUCUCUGCAUGUGCUAAUUUGCUUGCACGCUCCUUGCCCCAGAUUUUCUCAUGGCCAACGUCCUCUUAUCCUCCAGGUCUUUAACCAAUGUCUCCUCAUCAUGGAAGACUUUCCUGACGUGCUUUUCUCCCUGGCCCGUCUCACCUUCCCCCAGGGCACUUAUGCUCACUUGGACACCUUGUGCGUUUAUCAGGUCACCAUGUCCCCUUACUUCCCCCUGAGAGGUAAGGCAUGGUUGUGAGGGCGCCAUUUUGCCUUCUCACUGUUGCACACCUGAAUUAGCGCCUCCUGGUACAGAGUGGGUUCUCGAGAAACAGUUUUGAAUAAAUGAAUAUGCAUACCUACACAUUUGUGUGUACACAGAUGAUAUGUACCUGGAUGGAGUGCAUUUAUCUACUUUUCCUCAUUGAUCCAUUGCAAUACUGAGGCUCAAAGCUGAAAAUCUGCUUCUAGAGCAAAUCUGCGGAAUCCCAUAACUAUAAAUGAGCCUUGUGCUCCGUGACCUUCACAGCUACGUCAUACCCCUCUGCAUUUCAUUUCCUUAUUUUUAGGGCCACACAGGCAGCAUAUGGAGGUUCCCAGGCUAGGGGUCCAAUUGGAACUACAGUUGCUGGCCUACACCACAGCCACAGCAACACAGGAUCUGAGACGUGUUUGCGACCUACACACAAGUCAUGGGAAUGCCGGAUCCUUAAUCCACUGAGCAAGGCCAGGGAUCAAACCUGCAUCCUCAUGGAUCCUAGUUGUGUUUCUUACUGCUGAGCCAUGAUGGGAACUUCUGCAUUUCACUUCUUCAUCUAGAAAACAGAAUAGAAAUAGUCCUUACCUGAUGGAUUUUUUUUUUUCCUUUGAGGAUCAGAUGAGUUAACCAGUGCUUAGAGCAGGGCUUGGUUAGAGGAAGCAGUAAAUAAAUAUUAAUUAAAUAUGGACCGUUAUCACUGGUUUUUAGUGAGAGGUAUACCUGGG
rnacentral:lncRNA from 1 species